GCAGUCGUGGCCGAUUGGUUAAGGUGAUGGACUAAAAAUCCACUGAGGUCUCCCCUCAGAGGUUCAAAUCCGGUCGACUGCG
rfam:Ixodes scapularis strain Wikel colony gcontig_1108379675220, whole genome shotgun sequence.